UUAACCGACUGAGCCACCCAGGUGCCCCUUGCUACAUGAUCUUAAGACAGCAUGGCUGGGUCGCAAUAUCCUCCCAGGAGAAAAACUUGGUCAGUUUUAUUCAUAGCUCUGGUCUCUCUAGGGCUCAGCAAAGUCUGCUCUUGGGAAGACCUCUGGGGAACAGAGAGACAGGUACUAAUAAUUAUGCCUCCCUUUAACCUAAAAGACUUUUUCUUGGUCCAAGCUUCUAAACAUCCAUUUCUUUCUUCUUGAAGGGGGCUUUUGAUCCUUAAAGCAAAGAGACACUGGAAAGAGGGCUCAGGCCAUACCCAGAUAUGUCAGAACACUUGGGUCUAUAGACAGGGGUCUCAUAAAGUCUGCUAACACAGGCAACUUUCUGACAUAUUUGACCACUUUUAAGUGGUCGAUAAUGAUGCAUGCAUUUGAAGGUUGGGGAAGGUCACUGAGUGGUUCCAGCAGAAGAAUGUGUCAUCCCAUUACACCCAAGUGGUUGGAUGAUAAAUUUCCCAAACCAGAGUGGAUGAUGUGGCCAACAGGAGAGGGCCACAUGCUUGCUAGAUCUGAAUUACAGUUUUAGUCAAUGAAAAUCAGAGACACAGAUCACCUGCGGCAAGGCAUCACUGAUGCAGGCAUGGGGGGCAGAAGGAACUGCUGCCCUAAUGCACUGUGUCCGUUGCAAUGUACCUGUGCAUCACUUUAAGAGAAGCGACACUGACUACAACAUGCGAUGCCAUUUCACAUGUGUGUCUUGUAACAUCAAUAAAUUAUUCUCUGUUGAUUUGCCUGUGUAUCCAGACUGUCCAUAGUUUUUAUCACCACCAUUUAAAAUGUUUUCAUCAUAGUCUAUUGGCAUGCCAUAACGUAAACAUUCUUCAACUUUUGUGUGUGUAGGUUGUUUCUUUUUUUCUAUCGUAAAAUUCUGUAAACGCCGGAAGUAAGCACACACAUUUCCCCAUAUUUUAGAUUAGUUAAUUAAGAUGAGUGUUCACCAGGGGGAGAGAGAUUAAGGACCGUUUGAAGAGCGGCAGGAGGAAGAGGGUCCAAGGAGCAGUGACUUGGUGAAGGCAUUUCCUUGUCCGCACCAUGCUCCUCCUGGCGCUCCGUCGUCUGUCUACAGGAUGUCCCCACUGUGUAAUAGAAAACUCCUCACAGCAGGCUAGUGAAGGAUUUGACAAUCUGAUGACCAAUGACUCUGUGGACCUUGAAUGGAAAUACUGUACCCCUAAUCUGUUUAGGGGAGGAAGUGAAGUGAGGAAAAACCUCCCAUCUACACACAACGGUGCUUUUUGUGCAACAAUGUGAGAAAUACAUGCAUUUCUAUGUUACACGUUUUGUUCCAACCUAUAUGUGGGUUGUUUUCUUUCCUUUGCAUUCUCUCAAAGCAGGUUUAUGGUCCGCGGGAGAGAUGAUUUCCCUGGCCAAAGAGGUAGAAGACAUUUGUGCAAGAGGCAAAGAACGUGUCACUGUGGGUCCUUCGGAUGCCUUCCCUUGUUUUAUUGAAUGACCUUAAAGAAGAGUUUACUGUCUUUCUUUUCUCUAUUAGGAAUUAAAAUAGGAGACUUUAGAUGAGGUCUUGUUUUAAAAAAGGUGUUUUCUUUGAGAAAAAAAGGGCCUCUCCUUUGCAUGUUUGAGAUCGACAUGAUGAAGUUUAGGAAAAACUUAUUUGACAGUUGGUUAUGUUUCUUCUGGGUGAUUUGUUUAGAGAUAUGUGUACGUCUAAACUGCUUAAAGGUGUUUAUGACAAAUUUCUCACUUUCAUAGGGGAUAUGUAACGUUGCAGAAUGAUGGGAUUUUGUAGCCUCCAGUUGCUGGAAUUGUACAUAUUUGUAGAAGUGUUGGAAGAUGCUGAGAAUGAUUUUGCAGAGUUUUAAAGUAGAGUGUCCAGCCACGUGAAGUAAGGGAAGAAUGAACAUCAACCUAGAGUUGAGGAGGAGGAGUCUCCGUCAUGGUCCUGACAGGUGCCAGCCCUCGGAAGCUGCGAGUUGCAUCCAAUGGAACUGGGUCCCAAGUUGCUGACACCCAGGCUCACUGAAGAUUUCUAUACUUGCCAAAAUGGGCAGAAUGGAUGAGAAUUGAUAGUGUAACACUAGCUUCACAUGUGGGUGAGUGGAACCUGGAGAAAACCAGCUUGAAUUUCCUGCUUGUCCAGAGGGAUGGAAACUCAGUAUCGGAAUGAAGUUGAAAGAAAAUACAGACAAGACUCCCUCAGUGAAUCUGCUAUAUGAUAGUUAUAUUUUUUAUGUCAAAUCAUUGACAAAUAUAUAAAUAUAAAAGGUGACCUGAAUUUAAUAAUGCUUCCAUAAACUUGUAUUUUAUUAUUUAUAAAGUGUUUAGAAACACUUGAAAAAGUGGUGCAUAUAUCAAUCUAUUUAUUUAUUAUUUAGUCUAUAGACGAGAGGGUUUCCUGCCUGAAGGUAAUAACUCCAUAACCCCACUGGGAUCCGAGGCUCACAGGCUUGGAUCUAGUGUUAAAUUAUAAGAAUGGAAAUAAUACUGAUAGCCAAGUGCUCAUUAAUGUAUAACACUGAAAUCAUAUCAUCUUUUAAAAAGUCUUAGCAAAAGAUGCAGAAAUCUGGCUUUCAUUUGCCAAGUCUUCAUCUCCACUGUGUAAUUUUCUUUGUCCAUACUUUGAAAGGGGAAGCAAUCAUUGCUUGUCUGUUUGCACUUCCUGCAAGAAGAUGUUACUCUGGAUGAAAUGCACUGGCCUUCCCCGGGCAGCUUGAGGAUCCCACUGAGGGAGCAGUCGGCUGCUGGCCACUGGCUGGGUGAUGCACAGAGAACAACAAGCCCCAGAGCUUGUCCCUGUCCCCAGCUGUCCACAUCCUCAUCCUCAUCCUUAUUUCCCCGAUUUUUCUUCUGGAACUAGGAGAAGCCCCUGAUGUGCCUUUCUCUUUCUCUACCUUUCAUAUUUAAAAAAGUAGGAUACUAAUAUUUAUGAAGACAUGAACUAAUUUUUAACCUUUCCUGACAACCAGUAAACAUGCUUACUUGGCUCCAUGGCACAGGUCUACACUACAUUAAUCCAGAGAAUACCAAUAGGAAAAAGGAAAUGAUGAAAGCAAAUGCACCACUAGCUACAGAAACACUUCAUUUAACAAAAUCAGGAAAGAGAAUAUAUUUCCCUAAGUUUGAUGUGAUAAAAUAAAGUGAUAAUACUUUGGUUUCUUUAA